AUUGAACGCUGGCGGCAGGCCUAACACAUGCAAGUCGAACGGUAACAGGAAGAAGCUUGCUUCUUUGCUGACGAGUGGCGGACGGGUGAGUCAUGUCUGGGAAACUGCCUGAUGGAGGGGGUUAACUACUGGAAACGGUAGCUAAUACCGCAUAACGUCUCAAGACCAAAGAGGGGGACCUUCGGGCCUCUUGCCUUCGGAUGUUCCCAGAUGGGAUUAGCUAGUAGGUGGGGUAACGGCUCACCUAGGCGACGAUCCCUAGCUGGUCUGAGAGGAUGACCAGCCACACUGGAACUGAGACACGGUCCAGACUCCUACGGGAGGCAGCAGUGGGGAAUAUUGCACAAUGGGCGGAAGCCUGAUGCAGCCAUGCCGCGUGUAUGAAGAAGGCCUUCGGGUUGUAAAGUACUUUCAGCGGGGAGGAAGGGAGUAAAGUUAAUACCUUUGCUCAUUGACGUUACCCGCAGAAGAAGCACCGGCUAACUCCGUG
rnacentral:rRNA from 1 species